AUUGAUGUUGCAACAUGGGAAAGUGAUUGGCCUAUGCCUCACGACAUUGAGACUGCAUGAGAGGAAUUAUAGACCCAUGAUCUAGAACUAGCAGCAGUGUUUGCUUUGAAGAUUUGGUCGUCAUUACUUGUUACGGAGUCACAUGUGAAGUUUCACCGACCACAAGAGAGUUUGAAGUAAGUACUGUUUACGCAGAAGGAGCUGAAUAUGAGGAUAGCAUAGAUGGCUUGAGUUGAUAAAAAGACGACGACAUUCUAUUCAGUAUCAUCCAGGCAGGCUUAACGUUUUUGUAGCAGACGCGUUAAAGCCGGAAAGUCAACGUCAAUCUAGCAUGUUUAGUUACGUCGAAAAACCCCUUAUUGUUGAGCUAAGAAAGAGCAGAGAUUGAAAUAGUGCACCAAAACACCAUCAUGAGCUACGGACCAGGACGUCAACCGACCUGGAUGGAAAUUGUAAAGCAACGGCAACUAGACGAUCCCGUACUGUGAAAAGUUUAAUAAGGGAGUUAGUGAAUCCAAAGCCGGAUUUACCUACAGAUAGGGCACUUAGGUUUCAAGGCCGUUUAUGUGUUCCAAACAUAACAGAAGUCAAAAGGACAAGUUUAGUUGGAGGAGGAAGGGCCCACAAUACAAGUUCAACAAGUCAUCCAGGAGGAACGAAGAUGUAUCGACGAUUGAAAGGAGACAUGUUGGAUGGAAUAGAAUGGAAAAAGAAAAUAGCAAAAAUUUGUGUCACAGUGGUUUAUCAGUCAAAACAAGUCAAGGAAGAAUACAAGGCCAGCAGGGGAUAUAUUGCAAUCGCUACCAAUACCGGAAGGAAGUGGGAGCCACAUCAAAAUGAGUUUUGUAGUCGGACUACCGAGCUCACCAAGAGUUGUGAGCCGUUUGGGUGACUUGUAGACCGUCUACUAAGUCAGGACAUUUCUUGCUAGUAAAGGACUAAGUAUCAUUGAUCGAAGAAGUAUGCAAACCUUUACAUUAGAAGAAAGAAAUUAUCGGACUUCAUGGCAUACCUUUAUUUCUAUAUUCGGAUCGAAUCCGAGUUUACGUCUAAGUUUUGAAAAAGUUUGGCAACGAGCCUCUAGGCACCGAGCUAAGUUUCAGCACCGCUUUCUUACAACAGACGGAACGGCAAUCGAAAAGAACUAUCCAGAAUUUAGAAGAAAUGCUACGGCUAUGUGUACUCGAUUUCCAAGGAAAAUUGGGAAAAAUGCACUUACGCUUGUAGAAUUUGCUUACAACAACAGUUUUCACGCGAGCAUUGAAUGGCACUGUACGAAGCACUCUAUGGAGGAACUGUAGGUCGCUGUUUUUUUGUUGCGGAGUUUUUUUCGGAGGAAAACAAAUGUUAGGCCCGAGAAUAGUUCAACUGACGAAUAAUAAGAUCAAGGUAAUUCAACAGAGACUUCAAAAUGCACGAGUUGCGCCAAAAGAACAUACAGAUGUUCGGAGACGAGACUCGAGUUUGAAGAAGGGACCACUAUUUUUGAGUAUCCUCAUACCAAGGGGAUAAACCGUUUUGGGAAGAAAGUAAAGUUGAAUCCAAGGUGAUAUAGGGCCAUCAAAAUUCUCAACGAAUGGCACCGUUGAUUACCGUAUUGCUCUUCAACCAGAGUAUCGCACGUGAACAUGAUGUUUUUCACGUAUCGAUACUACGAAAAAUAUGUACAUGACCCCCCACUCAUGAUUCAUAAUUAUCUUUUGGACGUAGAGAAGAUUUAAGCUUGUGGAAAAACGAUAGAGAUGUGGAUAGUCGCGGACCAAGUGCUUAGAAACAAGGUUAAUCCGGUAGUGCGAGUUGUUAUGGCGGAAUACUCAUAUGAAGAUCUACUUGGGAACCGAGAAGAUGAGAUUCGAGAGCUGUAUCCAUUUCUCUUGAUGAACGUUCUAUAAUGAUUGAGGUACAUUUAGAAAUUCUUUUGGCAUUAUCAGCAUCCGUGUAUUCAUGUACCAUUAUGGUGUUCUUUUACCAAAGGCAUCUCGGGGAAGGCGGUUGUUUUUGGAGAUAUCAACCGGGUCGCAGUGUUGUAGGCUGCCCACAUGAGAGGCAGUGGAGUAGUUGCAACGGGUUAAACCCCAUUAGAUACGUUCUAUCACGAUUAGAUAUUCGAUGACACGAAGAAUGUUAUCAAUGUAUCACGACGAAGCAUGACGUAGCCAAGUUGAGGAUAAAUUUGUAUAAAGGAGGGAGCAGAAUGUAAUACCCCGAAUAUGUAAAAACGUUAAUGGGUAAAUUAUGACCGCUAUGUUAGUUUAGAAAGUCCCUAAUUUUAUAGGAUGGAAAUAAAUAGUCAGAGUUAGUUCAGAACUUUUCCAUAUGUUCGAAUGACAGGGAAUGCGUUCGACGGUCGCGUUCGAUGGUUAAAAACGGGUAACAGCAGAAAAGAAAAAAAAAAAAAGUGAAACACGAAAUAGAAAGAGACGCACCACAUGGGAUAAAUUCCCAUAUCAGCCAAUACACCCUCACCUCUCUCUUUCACUUUACCAAAUCUAUACCCAACCCACACACACACGGAGAGAGAGAGAGAGCAGGAGAACGGACGAACGAAGAGACGAGAGAGAAAGAGGAAGAGAGGAGAAAGCUUGGAAAGUCAUUCAAGCAAAUAAAGUCAUUGGGAGAUGGGGAAGCUUAAGGAAGAGGUAUAUAACUCAAAACCAUAUAUAUAUGGGGAUGUAUCAGUUUUAGGGUUUUCUUUGGGUUAAAAUCUUAGAUCUACCAUGUAGAAUAGUGUUAAGAGUUGAAAUUGACUAUUGACAACCAAAAUGGGUUUAUCUUUGAGUUUUAGAAGCCUUGAAAGAAAUGGAAAGAGUUGGAAUUGAUUUGGUGUGAGAGGAAGAAGAAGCAGUGAGUUCACAGAAAAAGGGUUCGAACGUUUUUACUGUGGUUCGAACGUUUUGGUUCGAACGUUUUAGGAAGGGUUCGAACGUUUUGGUUCGAACGUUUUGGAAAGAGUUCGACGGUUGCCGUUUGAACGUUUUCAAUGUGGUUCGAAUGGGAUGUUGAGGCUUUAAUGGGAAUGGAAUGUGUUCUCACCAUCUUAGAGUAUUCAAGUGAAUAAAGAAGUUUUAAACGGAUAUGCCUUGGGUAGGAAAUUAGCAGUUUUCUAUUAAUUUCAAGUUUUUUAGCAAUUGGUUAUCAUAGUAAUGAUAAACGAUACCUAUAUCCCUAUGUGUAGAAACCCCCCCCCACGACGUGUAAGUAUAGUUAGAGAAUGCAGGUGAGUAACACGAUGCCAUAACAAAAAUAUGACUUUCAACAUUUGUCCACACAUAUUAUUGGUAUGCAAGAGUUUUCAAUGUUUUCAAUGAUUAAAGUUAUGUUAUCCUAUAAAUGCAUCUCUUAAACGUAUGAUAAUGCUACUAUGUACGAAAGAAAAUCCACGGAUGUUUGCUUACAAACGAAACGAAUAUGUUCAAGUAUAUGCAUGUGACACUCGGGGCCCCCUGUGGUGAGACUUUAAUCUAACCUAAUGGUCCUAGAAGGUAAAAUGAGGGAUGUGAAAUUAUAAAUUAUUUACACGGGAUAUCUCGGCUAAAGAGCCACCCAACAUAAUGGUACAAUGUAGGUUAGUUAAUCUAUCGUACGUUCAUGAUAUGCAGUAUGUUUAUGGAAAACAUGUGAUGCCAUAUUAUGCAAGUUCAAGUUUCUGAAAAAGAAAAUUAAUGUUCAAGGAAGCUAUGUUACGCUCACCUCGUUUCACACGUAUGAAUAUGUAUGAUAUGAAAUUUAUCCAUGAGUAUUUUAGUUUAUGCAUUUGUUGUUAUUCACAAAACUUUACCUUCCGUUGCGAAAAUCUUUUCAGGAAACCAAAGUGAAGAACCAUAGGACGAGAUUGAGGCACAGGUUGUAGUGUUGAUAGCCCAAGGGCUUUGUGUGUAUUUUGUGGGUUAGACCCGAUUUAUGUCUUGGAGAUUAUGUGUAAUUAAAGUUAGCCUGGGAAUGUAUGCAAAGUUUAAAACUUAGACACAGUUCUGUAUUUACGGUAUGGACGUGACCUUUGUUAUUUUCAGUCAUGGACUUUCCCGCAUCAAGACAAUUAUUAUGCAUUUUUGAUUAGAAUGCACAGGUUUAAGGUAAGUUGGCCUUGGCGGCUAGCCGUCGGCCAUCACGCGCCCACGAUCCGCAUAGGCCGGUUGCGGGGCGUGACAUUGGGCCUUGGGCUUUGUUUGGCCCAAGCACAAACCCAAACCAAAAUCAACCUUGGGUACAAUUAAUUUGGCCCACUCUCUCACACCUCCACUUUCAAGCCCAAAUCAAAAUACAACUUUAUUUUUUAAUAUGGGUAAACUCAUAUAUAUAUAUAUAUAUACACACAUAUAUAUACUUGACAUCACACGUGCGUCCUAAUUACGCCAUAUAUAAAAAGAGAAAAAUUUUAAAGCCUUACAAUAUCACUUUAUCUGUGAUCUAGUUGAAGAAAAAUUAUCUCUCUAUAGCAUAUUUCUACGAAAAAUCAACUUACUAAUCUCUUCACUCAACCCCUUGAUACUCUUAAGUUUGAAUUUCUUCAAAAAUCUCUGGGAGUGUUCUCACUUGAAUAGUUUGUUAUGCUGGAGUUAAGGCUUGAGUACUUCUUAGCGUCUCAUUUGUUUCAAGCCUUGUCUUAUGGUGUGUGUUUGUGUGUGUGUGAGUGUGUAUGUCUUCUUUUUGGUCUAAACUUGUGCAUGUCUUAUCUCUCUCUUCCUUUCCUUGCAAAGCACUUUCCAUGAAAUGGUAAUUGUUUGAGUAGGCUCUGGAUUGAAUCUAGUAUGUAUCUUUGAUUGUGUAGAGGUAAUUCAAGUGACAUUCAUGAUACUAGUCAUACUCUUGCUUUAUAUUGUUUUGAUGCUCUCAGCAUGAGAUCUCUUAGAAUAUUGAAUAUGGCUAUUUAUGAUCAUGUUGCAAACUUUAUAAUGGAUGAUCUCUUUUUUCGUGAAUAUCUAGAAUGACCGUGAUCAUGUAUAUACUUUCUUAAAAAAUAUUAUUUUUAAUUAGAUGAAAAGGGCUACCUGUGAGUGUGAGAGAAACUACCCUUGUUAUGUGACAAGAGGAGAUGACUAUCUACUCAUGUGUGUAAAAGCCGCCAUCCUCAAAUGAUUUCAAAUGUUUAAAGUUCAUAAUUGGAGAGAUAGCGUUAGAACUUUAAAUGGUGAAUAGAACAAAAUAAAUAAAUAUUUGAGAUAGCAUGAGGGUUUGACUUCUAGUACUUUAGUAGUCAAGAUGAGAUCUCCAUUAUGAAUCAUGCUUGGAUUUUGUUUUAAGAUCUGUAUUCGCAUUAAUCUAAUUGACGAAUAUGCAUCUUGGCUUCAUGGUAGUCUUAUCAUUACUGGAUAUCUUAAGUUGCUUUUAUUCUUUUUCUUGACCAUACUGAGGUUAAAUUACUCAUACUCAUGGCUUCUUACAUUUCAUUGGUUGUCUUUUACUUGAGUUAAAAUUGAGGUUAUAUGCAUGUUCAUUUUAUUCUAUCUCAUCUCUCCAUUGUAUUUUUUUCUCUAAAAAGUUCGCUGGAUCUUGCGAGUUUUCAAUCUCGCAAAGUUUACUUAUUUGGGUGACGGAAACUUCUAGCGUCUAGUUUGCGAGAUCUCGCGGGUUCUCAAUCCUGCAAAUUCCACUUAUUAGGACAAGUAUAAAAUCAAAGCAACUAUUCUUUUUUGCCCUAAUCUUCUACAUCUGUCUAUAUAUGUCUCUCUUCUUCUCUCUCGCGAUCUCAAGUGACAAAUCCCCUCGAUCUAGCGACAUAUUCUCCUCUAUUCUUCUCUAGAUCUUCCGAUCUAUUCCUAGGUAGUCCUCUCAUUCUCUGAGUUUUUCUUUAUAGUGUGAAUUUUUGUGUUUUUUUUAACUUAGGUUUCGUUUUUGUUUGGGUUUUCUUCUAUUCGAUUAGUUGUGGGUUAAUUAAUUAUGGUUUGGAGAGUUCACUCAUUGUUUGGAGUGUAAGUGUGUCAAUAAUUUCAGUCGUUUGAAGAGUUCUGGUUCAUUAUAAGGGUGUGCAGUCUCAGACUAAUUUUUCUUUUUUUGGCAGUUAUUUUUUGUGUUUUGUUUUUGUUUCUUGGCCCAGUCAUCUACUGGACUGGUGUAUCUGCAUUAAUUAGUUUUGUUUUUGGAUUGAAUUUUUCAUCUAAUGUCUACUCUUCAAAAGAGAAAGGGGCCUCAAACCUUGUCUUCCCACCAUUCAACGGGUACCCUAGUAAAUGACAAGCCACAUGCUCUUGUAGUAGGUCUGGCAAUGCUGGUUCCUCUGGAACUGGCCAUAGGGGAGAAUCUCAAAUCUUGAUGCCUCUAAAUUCAGGCCUAACUUUAAGGUCGAGGCCCAUUUUAAUCGUUCCUUCAAAUCUCGCACGGUGUUUGUUUCUUGGGGUAUUCUUCUUGAUGAGUUUUUUGAGACUCUUAUUUAUACGUAUUUUCAUAAGUGGGGUUGGCAAAGACUUGUUGUGUCUAAGGGAGUGGUCUAUUUAGAACUCGUUGGGGAAUUCUAUGCCAAUAUCCAUGCUUCGGAUAAGGAGGUCGAGACAUUAAAUUCCUAUGUUCGUAGGGUGUCUUUUGACUUUUCUAUUUUUGAUAUCUGCACCUUCCACCACAUACAGCCCCUUGACCCUGAUAUUGUUGGAUUUCCAUAUCCCUCGUCCUUUAAUAGGCCAUCCUUGAAUUCUUUGGCCCACUUGUUAUUGGCUGAUAAGAGUGAUUGGUCUCCCGGUCCUUCAAGUAUUCUGAAGCAAAAAGGGUUAAAGAACGUCUUUCAUGUCCUUAACCAUAUCAUAUGUGAUCAUUUUCAAUGCACGUCUCAUGUUAGUAAGAUUGAUGAGACUCGUGCAUAGUUUAUACUUGCCAUCCUUGAGGCUUCAUUAGAUAAUUCUUCCCGAGCCUAUCUACCAUUCGGGCUCCUGAUUACUAAGUUUCUUGAAUGCCAUCAAUUUAUUUCUGAGCCUGAUAAGACUCGCAUUCUAGUUUGUAAGGCCAUUUCAUGGCAUACUCUUCGGAUAAGCAAUGUGCAUCUUGGUGUUGCUCCACCUCCUCCUCAGCUUAGGCCCCAUGCCAUGAUGAGACUCCUCCUCUUCCUCCUCCUGAUGUUCCAUCUUCCUUUGCUCCUCCUCAUGCUGCUGCUAAUCCUGCCAUUGCUUCAAAUUCAAGGAUCGCUGAUGCCAUUGUUGCUCUUUUCAAGCAUGUGAAUCUCAUUCAUUGGACUCGAUUGAGCGUAUUCAUCUCAUUGUGGAGCGUCAGGCACAUGAUAUUGUAGCCAUCUAAGAUACGCUUUCGACAUUGUCUCAUCAACAUACUGAGUUUAUCACUGAAGUUAAUGAUUUCAUUAAUAAUAUUCAAUGUAGAUGAUUUGGUUUUGUAUUUAUGAACAUUAAACUUUUUAAGAUUUGGGUCUGUAAUUGAAAAUUUUUAUGGAUGAUUUGGUUUGUACUUAUGGCAACUGAUUUCCUUUUAUGCUCAUAGAUGCGUUUAUAUAAUUUGUAUUGUCUUUUUAUCGUUAUUCCCCAUGCUUUAUUUGUCAAUUUGUUCCAAAAAGGGGGAGAGUCCUACAUCUACUCUACAUCCCUACAUGUCAUGUCUGUGCUUUUAAUAGCUUGAAUGUUUACAUAUCUUUGAUAUCUAUGCACUUGAAUGAUGUUAAGAGCUUUUGAUUGAGGUUUCAUCCAUGUAAUCUUUUUAUUUUCCUGUAAUGUGUAGUAGUAUAGGAUUUUGAUCACAAAAUUACUAAAGGGGGAAAUUGAAAGGUUACGUUGGUGGCCAAAUUUUGUGACAUAGUCUCUUUAUUUUAAUUCGGGGAUUUGGAUUAUUAAUCACAAGUAUUCGAAAAAGAUUUUAAGCUUAUUCAUGCAAGUUUGUGCUAAGAGAAACUUGUAUGAUAUAUCAAGGACGAUAAAACUGCACGUUGAUGGAUUUCGAGGGACUUCAAGGGUGAACACAAUGUGCUGGGAUGUCACAGAGAGCUCGCAGGUAGCUCGCGGGACAUCGAGGAAAAAAGCUGAGAGCUUGCAAAUUGUCACAAAGUUCGCGGGAUUGUUGCGGGAUUGAGACGCAAAAAUCUGCAGCGUCAAAAAUCACGUCGUUUGGUUUUUUUGUACUCCUAUAAAAGGCCCAACCCACAUCCCAAAAGCCUAUCUGAGCCGCCUCUAUUAUUAUACUCUAAAGAAAACCAUUCUCUAUCUUUCAGAGAGUUCAAAAACAGUUCUUAAUGCAAAUCAUCAUCAACCAUAUUAAAGAAAUUAAGAUUUUUGAUGGAGUUCAAGGCAUGAAAUCCGUUAGAAGGGGAUUUGAAUGGUGAUCAAGUACGGAGACAGUGAAUCAUGGAUACAGCUAGAUCUAGACAAUCAUUAGAUUAUGGAUUUGAGAGGUUUUGAUUGUAAGAGUCUUGUAACCGUCUGAACAUCAAGUUAUAGUACAUGAUCUUUGUCCAGUGAAAAGAACACGUGGUUUUUCUCCAAUUUAAGGGUUUCUACGGAAAACGUCUGGUGUGCAUGUGAUUGAUUGGUUUGUUCUCUUUUUGUCUUGGAUCGUACAAUAUUGCUCAUAGUCGUAAUAUUUUGAAUUAAUAUUAUAGAGUUUAGAUGCUUGGAUAAAACAUAGACAAAUGCUAAGUUUUUCAUAAAAUAUUAAAAGUGGGACUCAUUCAUGAAUUUACUUUUGUGUCUAAUAAAAUUGAGCAAAUAUAUAUAUCAUAUGUUGUAGCUCAUCACAUUUUAAUUAGCAUAAAUAAGUGGGGCCUUGGUAUGUAUGAUGUUCUUGUUUCCUAUGAUUUCAUAAUAAAGUUUGUUAAAUACUCUCACACUCUCUCUCUCUUCCAUGCAUAAAAUUAUCUUUCUUCAUUGUUCUAUAACAAUAAAGCAGUGUGACACUUUAUCCCUAGUCUUGACCCUGGGCUAGCUAAAAUAUCACUAAUUUGACUGUUUUCAAGUUUUUUCGCCUUUAGCAAUAAUUUUUUUACCUUUUAUUCAAGAUUUUAUAUAUAUUUUUUUGUUCCUCUUGAUCAAAGGAAUGUAAAAAUUUACAAAUUAUAAUCUAGUUUGAAAAAAAAUCAUGAAAGACAAAAAUAAGUUCCAUUUUUACUCAACUACAAGCCUUUUUUUGAUAAAAGAAAUUUAAAAAUAUAAAAAUUUGGACAAAAUUUAAAAAAAAAUCCACUAAAAAUAAAAUAACACACAAACCAAAGCAACUAAAAAUGAGCUAAUUCAACUGGCCCAAACUGGGACUCAGAAGAAAAAUUACAACCCUUUAUCUUCAGUGCUAAAAAUAUGUGUUAAAGGUAUGCUAAUUAGAAUUAAGGCCCAAUUGUACGUAUGUACUAAUUGUAGAGAUUUUUAAAAUGGACAAAUUAUUUUUAAAAAAAGGGGGUCAAUUUCACUUUUGUCUCUUUGAGUUUGACCUAAGUUUUAUUUUAGUGCUUAUAGUUUCAAUUUUUCUUUCAAAAUCUAACACCGUUCAGCACGGAGUUAACGUUUCAACCGGUUUAAAAUUGUUAGGUUUAUUUUGUUCAAAUUAGAACUAUAAGGACUAAAGUGAAACUUGGAUCAAACUUGAAAGGGUAAAAGAGAAAUUAAACUUUCUUUUUCUUUUUAAGAUCUUUUUUAGCUUGUAAUCAUAUUAAAAAAAUUAAUACUAAAAUUGAUUGUACAUUACACAUUGGACACAUUCUCAUGUAAAAUGUACAACCUUUUUAAAUAUGUUAAUUGUUACUUGUUGAAAUAAUUUUUUUAAUUUUGAUGAUUACAAUUGUGAAAAAGCUAAGCAAAAUUUAAACUUUUAUUAAAAAUUCUUGUUAAUAAACAAAAACAACAAGUGGUCUUAAAAAUGGGAUUGCAUAUAUUUAAAAUAAAAAGUGAAACCUCCCACGAGUCACAUUUGUUGUUAUUGUGUACAUAAAAUUUUUAAAAGUGUUAGUUCAACACUUAAACUCAAAAUGACAUAUCAAUGACAUGAUCUGCUAACUGAAACAAGUAAAUAGGCUCUUUGUCAAAAGUUCGGCCGACCAAACUUAACAGCCGAACCUUGAAAGGCAUAGCUGAAGUAUGAAGAAACAAAGACAAACCACAGAUUUGAUCACUAGAAUUAUAGUUCAUGGACAACCGAACUUGAAAUUCGAUUGACCGAAGUUAGAAGGAGCACAACCGAAUCAACACAGAAGCUCAGUCGAAUUCUAGAAACAUUAUAAGUAUUGAAUAGAUUGGGUCUUCAAAAAUUUAGUACAGUGACGACCAAAAGUUAAAAUCAGUUGACCGAAGUUCAAAUAUGCACGACCAAAGUUCAGUAAGGCAAACCGGAUUCAAAGAAGCACAACCGAAGUUCAAAUGCAGAACAGAGCAAUAACCUUGGUCUUUGGAAACUUGGUGGAAUGACAACUGAAGUUAAAAUUUGGUCGACCGAAGUUUAAAUGACCACGACUGAAGUUGCAAAUAUUUCAGCAAAUGCAAAGAACUCAAGCCACUGGAACUUCGUAGAUUGAUGACCGAAGUUGAAUUUCGGUAGACUGAAGUUCACAACCGAAGUUUGAAUUUUUGAUUUGGCAUAUCUAAAUCAUAGAUCCAAUGGUUGGAAUUAAAUCAAAAUGGCUAGAUCAGUUAUAUUAAAUGCUGCAACGACUCUAAACUGAUUUGGGCUUAUAAAUUCAACUCAAGAGGUUGUUGGAAAAAUAUUGAAGUGCUCUUAAUUCUUACACUUACUUGUAUUCAUCACUUCAAUCCUCUAAACAUUCAUUGUGCGCUUGAUUGAGAUCAAGUGAGUUAGAUCACUAUAGAAAAUGAGAGUUUCAUUGUAUUUAUUAUUCGAUCUAGAGUUGAUGAGCUACAAAUUACUCAUUUAUUGUACAUUGUUUAGAGAAUCACAUUGAAUGAUUGUAAAAGAUUCAAGAGUGAAAGACUCUUGAAUACUAGAAGAGUUCUAGUGAUGUAAUGUUUUUUCAAGUACCUGCAAGCUUGAAGAUAGUGGAAUCCCAAGAAGGAUUUGGAGAGUGGACGUAGGCAAGGACUGGCCAAGCCACUAUAAAUCGUUUACAUUCUUCUAUCUUCUCUGCUUACAUAGCUUACAUACUUGCUAUAUCUAUACGUUUAUUAUUUGUGUAAAUUAUUGAAAAGAAAUUUAAAUUGGCCGUUAAAUCUUAGCAAACCUAUUUCACCCCAUCAUAGUUUACUUAAUUGGUAUCCGAGCAGGACUCUAUUUUCAGAUUUAACAAUCUGGGAGUAAAAGAUCCAUGGCCAAUAUCAAUGGAACACAUAUAACCGAAGGUCAAUUGAUUACUAGGCCUCCACAAUUUUUUGGUAGCAAUUAUAACUAGUGGAAAAAUAGAAUGUGAAUAUUCAUUCAAGUAAAUGACUAUGCAUGUUGGAAUGUUAUAAAAAAUUGGCCUAUUAUACACAAAAAUUAACAAGAAAAUGAGAGGUUCAGCUCAAGAUGAGGGGACACUUUAGGACGUAAGGAGUAAAAAAACAAUGCAAAAGCCAUACAUACACUAUAUAUGGACUUGAUUGAAUGAAUUAAUAGCAUUUUCUAAAUGUGAAAUGGCUAAAGGAACUUUGAUGACAAUUAGAAAGUUACCCACGAGGGAACAAAUCAAGUUAGGAAUCUAAAAUAAGCAUGCUAGUACAUAAGUAUGAAUUAUUUAAAAUAAAAAUAAAUAAAAAUAAUUUCUUAGAUGUUCACUAGAUUCACUGAUAUUAUAAAUGGAAUAAAAGCCCUUAGUAAAGCAUAUACUAAUGUUGAGAUGGUGAGAAAGAUUCUCUAAGUGGUUACCAUGGAAUUGGGGACCAAAGGUGACUGCAAUAGAAGAGGCAACAGACCUCACCAAGAUGGGCCUUGACGAAUUACUUGGAUCUCUUAUGACACACACUAAAAAGCAAUGAGGAAUUUGAUGAAAGCAAAAAGAAAAGAAAAAUUACGUUCAAGACUUCCUCUUCACAUACAAAUGAAACCAUACUCGAUGAUAAAGAAAGUUAUGAGAAAAUGACCUUAUUUACAAGACGAUUCAAUAAAAUGUUCAAGAAGGGCCAAUUUCCACGAACACAAGGUAGAAGAAAUUUUGGCAAAGAAGAGGAAUCGAAGAAGGAUCUCAUUUGUUGCUUCGAGUACAAAAAGCCGAGACAUAUAAAAAUGGAUUGUCCAAAACUAAGAAAAGACAAGAGAUGCUCCAAGGAAAAAUUUCAAAAUUUCAAAAGGGCAUUUGCGGCAUGUGGAGAAAACAAUAUUGACACAUCCAAUAAUGAGUUAAGUAAUCAAGAAGUGGCAAACUUGUGUCUUGUUGCCAAAAAAGAUAAUAUAAAUGAUGUACAUCUUGAACCCAACUCUUUCAAUGAUUUACAAGAUAACUAUAAUGAUUUAUAUGAAGAGUCAUUAAAAUGGUAAAUAAAAAUUAUAUACUAAGAAAACAAGUUGCCUCACUUACCCUUGAAAUUGAAAACUCAAAGAAGCAUGUUAAUGAAUUAAUAAUUAAAAAUAAUGAGCUUAAGGCUAAAAAUUUGGAUUUGAUUACAUAUCUUGAAAAAUUUACUAAAGGACAAAAGAAUCUAGAUUUACUUAUUGGAUCACAAAGGUGUGUGUAUGAUCAUGCGGGGAUUGGAUAUAACACCUCAAAAAAACAAAUAUUAUACAAGAAUAUAUUUGUAAAAGCAUCUCAUCCCAUAACACAUAAAACACCAUGCACUUUUGUAACACCGAUGGUCAUACAAUAUAUUCAUGCUAUGUAAAUAAAUGUGUUAGAAGGGGAUUAAAAACUAUGUGGGUCCCUAAGAAAAAUGUCACUAACACACAAGGACCCAAUAAGAUUUGGAUACCAAAGACCAAUGUGUAAUUCUUGUGUGUAGGUAUGCUUGAACGCAAUAUCAAAGAAAAGAAGGUGGUACUUGGAUAGUGGAUGCUCAAGACAUAUAACCGGAGACAAAUCUAUGUUCGCAUCACUAUCUUCAAAGGAUGGUGGGUAUGUAAACUUCGGAGAUAAUAGCAAAGGCAAGAUCAUCGGUGUAAGUAAUGUUGGUAAAGAACUCCCUCCUAUUAUAGAAAAUGGCUUGCUUGUUGAUGAAUUAAAGUAUAAUUUUCUAAGCAUUAGGCAACUAUGUGAUAUAAGAAAUAGAGUUAUCUUUGACAAAAUCACUUGCACCAUAGAAAGCACCAAAGACGACAAAACCUUGUUUAUUGGUCAAAGAGUUAAAAAUGUAUACAUUUUUAAAAUUGACGAUGUUACACCAACCAAUGGAACUUGUCUAUCGGCUAUGAAUAACAAUGGUUGGUUAUGGCAUAGAAGGCUUGGGUAUGCUCAUAUGAAUCUCAUUUCUAAACCUGUCAAAAAGGAUUUAGUAAUUGAGCUACUAAAAAUCACUUUUGAAAAAGAUAGACUAUGUGGAGUAUGUCAACAAGGGAAACAAACUAAAAUAUCUUUUUAAAUCUAAAAAUAUUGUUUCACAUCUAGGCCACUAUAAUUUCUAAACAUGGAUUUAAUUGGUCCCUCAAGAACAAAGAGUCUUGAAGAAAAAUUAUACAUUCUUGUAGUUGUAGAUAAUUUCUCUCGAUUUACAUGGGUAGUGUUUUUAACCCAUAAAAAUGAAGCAUUUUCUUCAUUACAAAACUAUGUUGGCGACUUCAAAAUGAUAAAUAACUCAAUAUUUCAAAUAUUAGAAUCAAUCAUGGUAGAGAACUUGAAAAUAAGUAUUUUACUAAAUUUUGUGAUGAACUAGGAAUAUGACACAUUCGGUCCCUAGAACCCUUCAAUCAAGAUAAGGAAUUUUCAUAUAUCAAGAAAAUAUACGAAGGAGUUGCUCAAACAAUUUGGCAUGAUGGGAGCAAAGGCGCUAACUACACCCAUAAGCACAACCAUUAAGCUUGACAAGGAUAAAAACGACAAAAAUGCAGAUGAAAAGCUUUAUCGAGGUAUGAUAAGAUCCUUACUUUGCUUAAUGGUAAGUAGAUCUGAUAUCACUGUUUAGUAUUUGCAUAUGUGCUAGGUUUCAAUCAUGUCCUAAGGAAUCACAUCUAACGGCCAUAAAACGUAUAUUUAGAUAUCUCAUAGAUACAAAUGACUUAGGCAUAUUUUAUCCAAGUAGGACUUGCCUUUGAUUUAAAAGGGUACUACAAUACAGAUUAUGCAGGAUAUAAAGUAGAUCGAAAAAGUACGUGUGGUACUUGUCAAUUUCUAGUACAAUUCCUUGUUUCUUAGUUUAGUAAGAAACAAAAUUCUGUUGCACUAUCAACGGCCAAGGCCGAAUACGUGGCUGUCAGAAGUUGUUGUGCUCAAGUGCUUUGGAUAAAACAACAAAUUGAGGAUUAUGAUUUAUAUUUUGAUCAUAUUUUAAUUAAUUAUGACAACACAAGUGCUAUAAAUUUAUCUAAUAAUCCAUACAACAUUCAAGAACUAAACACAUUGAGAUUCGACACCAUUUUCUAAGAGAUCACAUCCAAAAAGGGGACAUUGGACUUAUAUAUGUACACAUCGACAAUCAAUUAGCGGAUAUUUUUACAAAACCCUUUGAUAAGAAAAUAUUUUAUUUCAUUAAACGUAAACUUUGUAUGUCUUAACCAAUGUAAAAUUAUUUUAGAUUCUUAGAAAAAUUCAUUUUACUUAUGUUAGUUGGCAUUUAGAAGGAGUAGUCUAUAUCAAAAUGAACUCCAACAAAACAACUAUAAAUAUACAAUUUAGUUCAAAAUUUAUAUGAUCAAAGUGUUAUGUAAGAUUGAUUUGAUUGUGUGAAUUGUCAAGUAUGAGAGUUAGAGUAUGAAAUUUAGAUACACAAGUAAAUGAUCAAAAGAAACAUGCCCAACAUAAAUUUUAUGUUAUUUAUGACUUGUGUGAUCAAAGAAAACAAGUAGAAAAGAUCAAUUUAGGGAAAAUUAAAUUGCUAUCAAAAAUGCAGUUGCUGAUAAAACUUCAGCUGACCAAAUCUAAUGUUCGGCUGACCAAAUGGCCAACUUCAGUUGACUGAAGUUGGCGACCGAACGUUUUGUAGCUGCAAAACUUGAAAAGGUCACGUAUAUUUUAAAUUAAAACAUUAAUUUGAUUCCCAACUAUUGAUUCUCAACUACUUACUUCUCCAUUUAAUA
rnacentral:lncRNA from 1 species